CCCCACCUGACUCCCCAGGGGAAGUCACCCCGAAGCAGCGCCUGCGGGCCUCCCCCGCCGCGGAGCGUCCCUUCCCUCUUUCACCCCACCUACUGUCUGCGCAGGAAGACUGUCUAACUAAGAAUUAGAAGUUUAACUCCGCCUGCAAGCGCACUGAUGGUCCCCUUGGAGGCUUCUCCGCGGCUUUCGUACUUCUGUCAGCAUUUCAAGAGCAGCCGGGUGCCGAGGCCACGUCGCCGCCAAACCUACUCCCUACUGUCCACACCGGCCUCUCUGGCCCACAGGCGUUACAGGAGGAGUCGCCACCAGGACCUCGUGGCGCAACGGUAGCGCGUCUGACUCCAGAUCAGAAGGUUGCGUGUUCAAAUCACGUCGGGGUCAAGUCCAGAGAGACUUCUUGUGAACCAU
ensembl:lncRNA